GAGGUUGCAGUGAGCGGGGAUCACACUGCUGCACUCCAGCCUGGGUGACUGAGUGAGCGAGACUCUGUCUCAAAAAAAAAAAAAAAUUAAUAAAUAAAUUCCAUUUGGGUUUAUUCUUAGGAUUUUGGGAAACAGUUGUUUCAAUGCAAGCCCCAUCUUUUUCAUAUUAAAAACAAGCAUUUUGUCCUUUGACAUAUAAUCAUAGGGGAAGAAAGAGAGUUUUAGAGAAAUAUACAAUGAGAAACAAAGCAGUCUAUUGUUUCCUGGCAUGUUGUCUUUCUAACUGACCUUUGCUUGCAAGUUUAUUUUUAUCACUGAAAACCUUUCAGAGGAAAAGGGAUCAGUGAGUUUCAUAGAGUAGCAAUGGAUGAGACAAGGUCAGUACUGGCCAUGAGAACAGACUGCCUUGUGUGGUUACUUCUUCUUAUAGCUGUGGUUGUCAACAAGACCAAAGAGAAGUAACCAGAGGUCACUGGCCUUGUGGCCUCUUGGGUGGGGUCUACAUAUGUACUUUUGACACUGAUGGCCGGUGAGGAGUGAAUGCUAAGAGCAGCACAAGCAGGGGCCACAAGAGCUGAUGUGAUGUAUGGUCCAGACCUGAUUUGUGCAAACCAGAGGAAAUGGAGCUCAUGCCAGAUCAAGGCUGUAAACCUUCUUGUAACCCACAACAGACACAUUUACUUGGCAGAAAUAUUUUGCAUCGGCAGUGUGAAAUGUGCCAAGGCACAGAGAUGGGAAAGCUAGAUGAAAAAUAAGAGCAACAGCAUCAUGGCAGAAAGACGUGGACAUUCUAGACUAAAAUGAAGUGGAUACAGAAAUGCUUAGUAUACUGCUACAGCCCUCCAGCAUAGUGAUUCACAAAAGCAAUCAGCCAGGCUAGGACAUGCAGGGAUAACGAGAGGAGGAGAGGCACAGAGAGGAAGCCCAAGAUUAGGUCUGAGACUUGACUAUCCACUCUGGGCUAGGAGAAAAUACCUAGCAUUAGAGAAAAUGUAUGGAAUACAGUGUUUUAGUGGUGCCUAAACCAAUCACUUUAGUGAAUCCACCUGUCAUUUACUCAUACAGAUAUUCUUACCAAUUCCUUUGUUUACUGUGGUCAAAAUCUUCAUUCGGAUGUUAGAAUAGAAACAAAGAAGUGUUCCAUACCCAACAAACUUUCAAGCCAUAAUAUUGAUUCCAACCAGGACAUUUAAUUAUCAGGCCCCAGUUUUGUAGACCACUGCAGAUUUAAGGGUAUGGAGAGGUAGAAUGGGAGGGUGUUGUUCAGAUCCAGGAAUUGCAACACUACUCUUAAGUAUUUAUUGUUCAGCUGAACAUUGAGUGAACCACAGGCAGGGAAAGAAUUAAGUAUGUCAAACUGCAUAUGUGAAAUAACAGAGAAAGAAAUGUUACCAGCAUAUUUUCAAACAAAAGACAUGAAAAUGGCAGCUCUUCUGGGUAUGGAAAAAAAUUUCCUUUUCCUACAUAUUGACAGCCAGAGGGGGUUAUUAUUGAGAAUAUGGGUAAAGUUGCCACCAGUUUCUGCUGGUACUCAUGUUUAAAAAGAAACUAUGGAAACCAGGAGAAGGAAUAUUAAUUAAGUUCAAAUUUGGAAUGUCUUUGCCAGGAGCAGAUGAAUGAAUUCAGUGAAGCAAACUGUUGGGUUGUAAUUCAGUGUUUUGUUAGUAUUUUAAUAGAAUGCUGAACUUUUCAGAAAUUAAUACUUUGUUUUAAUAAUCUUAUUAAAAGGUUAUUUCUUGAUAAGAUUAGUCCUGGAAUGUGAUUUUUUUUUUAAUUUAAAGAACCAGUAUAUAUUUUCUUUCUUUUUCACAAUUUUAAAUAUUCUUAUUGGUUAUGACUAAAAAAUAUUUAAUACAUUUAAAAAUAUUAAUACAUUUACAUGUUAAUAAAAAGCACAAGAAAAUAAUAGACAAGUGAAAUGUCUUUCCCCCUCCAAACUUUCAGUUUCCUUCUACCUCUAGAUGAAGAAACCUGUUAUCGGUUUGUUGUGGAUACUUUAGAGAUAUUAUUUGCACUUAACUAUUGGCCUACAAGGGCCUCAACCAUUUCAAGGCCCUUUGAUGAUUAUGUCUUUUGAGUUUUAUUUGCUAAGAACACAUGCUUUUUAAAAGAAUAUUUUCUAAUAGUGAAAGUAAUAUGGAUGCCUGGAGAGGGUAAUGCUAAUGAGAAAAUACAAAAUGGGGAAAUUAUUCACCUGAAUAAACCUGGAGAGUUUACAAGUAAAGCUUCACUGGUCACUGCAGGGUUUAAAGGAAGUUUCCACUUUACAAUGUAAAUAUGUUGUGGUCGUCUUAGUUCUUAGACUAAUUUGCUUCUUUCUGGUGGGGAGGAUAGCAAUGUUGAGAAAACACUGACUAAACUGAAAAUCAGCUCCAUUUAAAUGUGAAGCUGCGUUCUAAACACAAACAUAGUCUGCUGAAGGGCUCUGAACAUUAAGCUGCAUGCCUUGCUGAGUUUUAUUCCAAAUAGACAACAGCAGAUGGUAACAAUGCACUUCUCAUAGAUGGUAGGAGGGAGGCAGUCUUGUUUCAAGUAAUACUAUUUCUGGGCGAUAAUCCAAAAUGCGCAGUAGGCAGAAGUUAAAAGGAAGCGCUUGCUUUUAGGUUUUAAAAAUAUAUCCCUUAAUCCUGGGUGAUGAUUGACAAUCAUGAUUUAGAGUAUGAGGGGCCGCUCUUUAAUCCGGCAAGUUUGAUGUUAUUUGCGUAUCUAGUAGGGCUUUUAUUCAACUAAAACUAAGUGGAAGCCUGUGCAAUUGAUGCCGCAUUUCAGAAUUGAUUCUUGGCCUGGUACUCUAUUUACAGAUUAGUAAGUACACAGGAUCUGUCCUCCUCCUCAUCUUUUUGAAAUUUAAAGGUUCUAAAAGGCACAUUUACAAUUAAAGUAUUUCUUGCUGUGUAAGAGUAUGACUAGGAGAUGACUGUUUUCUGUAUAAUUUAAUUUCUUGAGAAAAGAAGCAGUCUAUAAGAUUAUAUUAAUCCUGAUUUGAUUAUCAAACUAUGAUAUUAGCUAUUGGUAUUUAUAAAUGAUUAAAAUGUUGUCAUUAUUGACUUCAUGUGGUUUGUUUGUUAUAAGUUCUUUGGAGAAAUUUUAAUGAAUUACCUCAAAGUCUCUUGCUCCUAUUAGGUUUCUAGCAAAGCUUUUCUAAGGAGUAGAUCAAUGUUAAGCCAUUUUAUUACAAUUGUUUUAUCAGCUGUGACAAUAAUUUGAUCACACAUUAAAAUAAAAUUAGUUAAAUCAUAAACUCCAAAACAAGAUAUCAUUAAGAAAGGAAAAUAUACAGGAAUGAAAGUUAACAGACAAAUUUUACAGCAAUUAACAGAAGUGAUUUUUUUUUUUUUUUUGAGGCACUUAAGCUCUGCGGUCAGUGUCUUUGUCACAGUUUCUUUCGACAAAACGAAAUAGACUACAUGUGAAGCCCAAGUGAUAUAGUGUCUUUCCUGUAUUCUCAUGAUGUUUUAAAUUAUGUAGUUUUUGGAAAAUGUUUAAGAAGUUAAAUGCAUUCAUUACAGAAAAAUUUGGAAAAUACAGAAAAGUAUGAAAAGAAAAUAAACAUUACCUUCAUUCCCAACAGUCACUAUUGUGCAUCGUCUUCUAUUUAUUUUUCUUAUAUUUUGUUGCAAGGAUUUAGAUUUCAGGGCUAAAAUGUACUUCCCAGGAGACAUCCUGGCUGCUAGGAGUGUGUAGAAGCAUUCAAAAUGGGUUCCUCUGGAGUUGACGUGAGUGACACAACCUGCUAUAAGUUUGGUCUGUGUUUUGUAAGCUGCGUCAGCAGAGCUUUCUAUUAAAACCCCAGUGAUGGGAUCCUUUGUGUUUAGAAUAUACUCUAACCUAGUAAGUGCAUGUUGAUAAUACCUCUUUCUGUUAACAUUUCAAAAGCCCAUUUUGCUGUAGUAUCAUGCAUUUGAUAUUUAAAAGCUAAUAAAUCCAAGUGAUAGUAAGAAAAUGUUAUUGAUAUAUUCAUUGCAAAAUGUUCUUCAAACCAAAUUUUGUUUUUGCCUUUGUACUCACAGUUUCGUGCCAGUAAAUGACUGGGUGAUUGCUACAGUGAAAACACUGCUUGCCUCAGCUUUGCUUAAUUAAUUCAUAAUGACAACAUAGGUAAUUCAUUAAAUCUUAAUGAAGAUUGGAUAUAGAGGAGUAUAGUAGUUGGAUCUAAAUCUACAGCUCAAAAAUCAAAUCCCAACCCCUUAGACUGCCAAAUCCAGAAAAAAGUCAAGGCCCUUUCUCUCCAGCCAGCGAUGGCCAUCAUCCUAGAAACCUACACUGUUGCAUGGUUUUUCCUUUGCCUAGAAUGCUCUUCUCCUACCUACUUCCCACCCUCAGGUCUCACACUGCAGCUCUUCCUUCCAGAAACUGCUCAAGUGUCUCCAUGAAGCUUUUGGCUACUACCCCCUCCCCAAGGUCCUGGCCCCUUCCUCUCCACUGCCAGGGCACUACACACACACACCCCUCCACACAGCUCUCAUCACCUCUGGUUUCCAUGAUUUGUUUACUGUCUGUCUCCUCCUUACCUGUGAGCUCUCACAGUCUAGCACAGCAUUAAAAAAUGGUUUAUUGACUGAAUGACUUACUAAAAUAGAUGAAUAAACAAACAGAUGGUUGAAUUUGCUCAUGAGAUAAGGGUACCCACCACCCAGCAUGUGUCUAGCACAUAGUACACAUAGGAGCAAUGACCAUGUCUGAUGCUAUUACUUUUACUGAAUAGUUACCAGACAUUGCAUUCAGUGCUUUAAUGAAUUACUCAUUUAUGGUCAUCUUAUUGCUAUCCAUAUUUUACAGAAGAGGUAACAACCAAUAGCUCACAGGGCUGGCACUCAAACCCAUGCUGUCUUAUUCCAAAGCCUAUGUACUUGGCAAUAUUAAAUAUUCUACUGCCUUUUUCUACAGGAGGCAGUCAAUACUUGAAUGAAUGAGUGAUGAAUGCUUCCCCUCUAUGAAAGAAGCUAUGGUAUCCUCUUGGAUUGCUCUUUCUGCCACUCUCGAAGCCUAACUCUCAGUAAGCAGGCCUCUGUUUCAAAGGCAAGAAGAAGGGAGUGCAGUUCCUCACAGAGGGAUGACGAUGUGAAGGCAGCCAUGACAUGAUGGAGGCAGAGACUGGACCGAUGCAGCAGCAAGUCAAGGAGCAAUGGGGAUUGACAGCCACCACCAGAAGCUGGAGAGUGGCAAGGAAGGAUUCGGCCCAGAUCUCAGAGGAAGCAUGGCCCUGCCGGCACUUUGAUUUUGGACGUGUAGCCUCCAGAACUGUGAGACAAUACAAUUCUGAUAUUGUCAGCCACACAGCUUGUGGCACUUUGUUAUAGCAGCCCCAGGAAACUAAUAUGCUGUUGGCCCUUUGUAUCCAUGGGUUCCA